CAUUAUCUGAUUAUGUGAUCUGCAAGACUAGUGUUCUCUUAUGUUUUACUAGGCAAACCUCAGAGGCGUGAAGCUACCAGAGGGAACCUGAUGCCCCCAGGCCCAUGGAUUUACGGAACCGGUCAUCUCAAUAAGCGACUAUUCAAAGGUGCUUUCGACAUUUCAAAUAAAAUAGAAGACACCGCAGGAAAAGAACAUGGCAUUCAGAUGAUGGAUAAAUUUAUGGUUUUCCUGAGAUUACAAGAGUCUGGUGCCUUAGAUAAAUGCCUAGCUAGCUUUUCGAAAAGACGAUAGGUGGUUGCGACCAACUACCCCUGGAUACGGCAACAUCAUACGCGACAACGAUUCGGGAACGCUCGUCGUUUAAAUACGAACUCUCACAAAGUCUCACUCAGGAAUGCAUCUGCAUAUCAAAGGAAUAACUGUCGACUCUCCACGUCAUCCGUUACUUAUCAUAGAAGUCUUGAAAACAUUUGCGCGCGAAAUGAUUUUGGCUGACUCGCGUACCACCUUCUAACGACGGUCGAUUCGGUCAAGAGCCGUCACGACCCGUACGAUGCGGCGCCCGACCUGUCUUUGUAAGAAAUAUGAAUUGUUUCUACUGGUGCUGUCUUGAGCCCGGAUUAAGAAAGUCGCGACGGAAACCCGUGGCGUUUAGGCCCUCCACUCGAUAUGAUACAGGCGUCCUCUGUGAAUGACGGCAAUGUCUUGCUUGUGACUCAGUCAUUGACGAAAGAGGGGAUGACUUGGUUGAACGUCUUAUCCAAUUUAAGGCUGAACUAAAGAUAUUCUAAAUCCCAUCACUGGUCUCAAUCUGCAAGACAAAGCCGCACAUUGUAAGAUGCGGAUCACCACUAGCCUAUAUUGCAUAAAAUGAGACGUGAAAACGCAACCUUUCUUAGUUUGAAGCAUUCGUCAGUUACCUCCAUCCAUCAUCCAACAUUGCUGAUACCUUUCAAACCAAUCCGAGUCCGGCGAUCUUUGUACUCAGCUUAUCGAACAAACUAAAACUGAAUAAAUCACAUUAUUUUCAGA